rnacentral:rRNA from 1 species
UACGUAGGGGGCUAGCGUUGUCCGGAAUCAUUGGGCGUAAAGCGCGUGUAGGCGGCCCGGUAAGUCCGCUGUGAAAGUCGGGGGCUCAACCCUCGGAUGGCGGUGGAUACUGUCGGGCUAGAGUGCGGAAGAGGCGAGUGGAAUUCCUGGUGUAGCGGUGAAAUGCGCAGAUAUCAGGAGGAACACCAAUUGCGAAGGCAGCUCGCUGGGACGUGACUGACGCUGAGACGCGAAAGCGUGGGGAGCAAACAGG